rnacentral:lncRNA from 1 species
UUUUCAAAUGUUUUAUCUUUCUGCACAUUAUUGUUUAGCCUUCAUGUUUUUAUAUGCAAUGUUUAUCAAAAAUUCGGACGUUUUUGCAAACAAAACAGUAAAAUAAAAAACAAGAGAGCAAUUUAUCUGAAUAACGACUUUUAUUGAUUGAAAAUGUGCCUGAAAAGGCGAAUGCAUCGGGAAGCCAUUCCUAGAAAGAGGUAAUUGC